rnacentral:rRNA from 1 species
GACGAACGCUGGCGGCGUGCUUAACACAUGCAAGUCGAACGGAAAGGCCCUGCUUUUGUGGGGUGCUCGAGUGGCGAACGGGUGAGUAACACGUGAGUAACCUGCCCUUGACUUUGGGAUAACUUCAGGAAACUGGGGCUAAUACCGGAUAGGAGCUCCUGCUGCAUGGUGGGGGUGGAAAGGUUCGGCGGUUGGGGAUGGACUCGCGGCUUAUCAGCUUGUUGGUGGGGUAGUGGCUUACCAAGGCUUUGACGGGGAGCCGGCCAGAGAGGGUGACCGGCCACAUUGGGACUGAGAUACGGCCCAGACUCCUACGGGAGGCAGCAGUGGGGAAUAUUGCACAAUGGGCGGAAGCCUGAUGCAGCAACGCCGCGUGCGGGAUGACGGCCUUCGGGUUGUAAACCGCUUUCGCCUGUGACGAAGCGUGAGUGACGGUAAUGGGUAAAGAAGCACCGGCUAACUACGUG